GCUGGUGUGGCUCAGUGGAUAGAGCGUCAGCCUGUGGACUGAAGGAUCACAGGUUCAAUUCCAGUCAAGGGCA
rnacentral:tRNA from 1 species